AGAAUCAACGCUGGCGGCGUGCCUAACACAUGCAAGUCGCACGAGAAAGGGACUUCGGUCCUGAGUACAGUGGCGCACGGGUGAGUAACACGUGAAUCAUCUACCUCCGAGUGGGGAAUAACCUAGAGAAAUCUGGGCUAAUACCGCAUAACACUUACGAGUCAAAGCAGCAAUGCGCUUGGAGAGGAGUUCGCGGCCGAUUAGUUAGUUGGCGGGGUAAUGGCCCACCAAGACGAUGAUCGGUA
rnacentral:rRNA from 1 species